CCUACGGGAGGCAGCAGUGAGGAAUAUUGGUCAAUGGCCGUAAGGCUGAACCAGCCAAGUCGCGUGAAGGAAGAAGGAUCCAUGGUUUGUAAACUUCUUUUAUAGGGGAAUAAAGGUAUCCACGAGUGGCUAUUUGCAUGUACCCUAUGAAUAAGCAUCGGCUAACUCCGUGCCAGCAGCCGCGGUAAUACGGAGGAUGCGAGCGUUAUCCGGAUUUAUUGGGUUUAAAGGGUGCGUAGGUUGUUUUUUAAGUCAGCGGUGAAAGUUUGGGGCUCAACCAUAAAAUUGCCGUUGAAACUGGAAGACUUGAGUGGGUGUGAGGUAGGCGGAAUGCGUGGUGUAGCGGUGAAAUGCAUAGAUAUCGCGCAGAACUCCGAUUGCGAAGGCAGCAUACUGGGCCAUAACUGACACUGAGGCACGAAAGCGUGGGGAUCGAACAGGAGUAGAUACCCCUGUAGUC
rnacentral:rRNA from 1 species